UGAAAUCGAAAAAAGAAAAGAGAAAGAGAGGAGUAAAUGGAGGCGGUUGUGUGAGAUUCCCCAUCUGAGAUCGACGGGCACAUGGAGGAUUCGACAAGAGGUUUGAGAUAACUGGGUUGUUGUUGAAUGUCUGAGUUCGAGUUACUGUUGUUCGAUAGAUCGAAGAAAAUGAAAUCGAGAGGAUAGAAAAGGGAGGCUAUGGCGGCACCAUUAUUCUGAGGAAAAGAGAGAUCGAUAGAAGUAAGGAAUUUGAGUGAUGAUGGAGGAGAGAUGUAAUUGCUGCUCAUCAAAGAUUAAGCUCGAUUCGAGAGUUCUAAAUUCAGAGAAGGUGAACUGAUGAAGAACAAAGAUUUCAGUGGAGAAAAGUUAGGGUUUUGUUGAAGACGAUCGAUUUAAGAAUCUGGUGAUGUUAAUGAUUGAUUCAAGGGUUGAUAAAGCUUGGGUGUGUGCUUAAUCUCAAGAAUUUGUGUUGUGUUGAUUUCAAACCCUUGAACUCGGAAGUUAGGAAUUUUGGGAUUUCGGUUGAAAAUGGAAAUUGGGAUUACUGAAGAGCUCAUGGAAGAGACCUGUGCAGUUGUAGUGCAGGUAAUGGAUAAAGAACUCAGGGAGAAGAUGAAACUGGGGAUUACAAGGGUUUCUGAAGCUUAAAUCUCAGUAUGGCAGCUGAAAUGACUAAAAGAACUGGAAGGAGGUUUGAAUGGAUGUGGUGGUGAUAAGAAUGGUCUGGUAGAGUGAUUGAAGGCACUGGUGCUGUCUGAUGGUGGUUAUGAGAAGAAUAAGAAGCUAAUGGGAGAUAUAACUGAAGCUGCAAUUCUGCAAGAUUGAAUGUAUUUGAGCAGAGAUGGAGUAUAUGUAAUUGUUGCUGCUGUUCAGUUCAGUUAAACCUAGAUGGAGCAUUGCAAGAGGCUGAUGAUAUUGCAGUGGUGCUAAUGGGUUAGUGGACUGACUAAGAUGGAGUUGCAGGCAAGUGCAGUUCAAUAAGAAUGAUGCCGGAAUCUGUGAAUGGCAAGGAGUCUGAGAAUGUGAAGCUAGAGAUAAUUGCAGUGUUGAAGUGAAGUUACAGAAUGCAUCGCUAUGCCAUUGGAGAUUUGUGGAAGUGCAGGCUAAGGUGUUGAGCUAGUAAACUGACCUUGUAGAAUGCAGGAGGAAGGGUUAUCAUAGCUGGAGUUAUGGGUAUUUGCAGAAGCAGCUGUAAUAUAUUGGCCUGAGUUUGAGCUGUGAACUCAGGAGGUGGUGAACUGAUGUUGUUGCUGGUGCUAUGUUGGUGGAUUGGAGAUCACUCGGAUUGCAGGAAAAAAUGGUGCCAGAAGCAUGGUGGGUUUGGUUGAUGUUGAGCUGCAGGAGCUGUAGAAAGAGGAGAUUACAAGUUACAUUGUCUUGUUGUGCAGCUGGAAUGAAUUGAAUUGUGCUUGAACUGGUGGAGCUACAACAAAUGGUGGUAGCAGUUGCUGGUAGUGCAGAACAAGGGUAUGGGUCGAGAAGAUGGUUAACUGGAUCAGGUGGUAUGACUGAGAUGGUACUGGAGUGAAUGGUUGUGUUUGCCUGAGAAGGAAUGACUGGAAAUUGGAGGUGCAUUUUUAUGAUGUUGCAGUGCAGGCUUGAGCUGUUGCUAUGGUGAUGUGAUGAGAUGAACUAGGUGGUGACUUGAGUGCAGAGUGCUGCGGCAAAUGGAAGCGACAGAGAAUAAGAAGUGAAGAGGUCUGCUGGUCAGACUUGCAGGGAAUAAGUAAGCUGAAAGAUGGGUUGAUAAUGCAGUUUGUUUACUGUUGGAUUGAAGCUACAACAGAGGAUCUGGUGCAGACUGAGACAGUGAAGCGUCAUCUUGGUGCAAUAUUAGUUAGGCAUGUGCAAAAUGGCCUAGGCCAAAGUGAAUCAGACUGAGCCAGACCUGACUCAUCUGAUUAGCCAUCUGACUCAUUGACUCGGUUUGACUCAGUCACUUUGACUGAGUUGACUCGAUGACCUGACCCGUUUGACCGGUGACCGAGUGGACUUUGCCAGUCACCUGAGAUACUUCUCCGGCCACUUUCCCGGCUAACUUUCGGCGGUGGACACAGUUUUCCGGCGACAUAUUUUUGGGAUAAUUUCUACAUUGGUUUUUCUCACAUAUGGGCUUGGUGGAUUUUUAUCUAAGGGACUUUGAAGACUUCGACCUAAUUUUGGAACAAGAGGAGCUAUAAAGGAGAAGUCUUUCUACAAUUUGGGGGAUCAAGUAUUCUACUUGGAGCUUUGGAGGAGAGCGGCUAUUCUAGUAGGGUUUGCUUAUGUUCAUCUUAUUUUAUUCAAUUAAUAUAUUUGUUAUGAACUCCAUAGCUAUGAGUAGCUAAAUCUUAUAUUAUUGGUUAAGGAUGUAGUCCUAUAUCUACAACUUGUGCUUGAUUAAUGCAUUAGUUUUCUCUCUUGA